rnacentral:rRNA from 1 species
GAACGCUGGCGGCGUGCCUAAUACAUGCAAGUCGAGCGAACGGACGAGAAGCUUGCUUCUCUGAUGUUAGCGGCGGACGGGUGAGUAACACGUGGAUAACCUACCUAUAAGACUGGGAUAACUUCGGGAAACCGGAGCUAAUACCGGAUAAUAUUUUGAACCGCAUGGUUCAACAGUGAAAGACGGUCUUGCUGUCACUUAUAGAUGGAUCCGCGCUGCAUUAGCUAGUUGGUAAGGUAACGGCUUACCAAGGCAACGAUGCAUAGCCGACCUGAGAGGGUGAUCGGCCACACUGGAACUGAGACACGGUCCAGACUCCUACGGGAGGCAGCAGUAGGGAAUCUUCCGCAAUGGGCGAAAGCCUGACGGAGCAACGCCGCGUGAGUGAUAAAGGUCUUCGGAUCGUAAAACUCUGUUAUUAGGGAAGAACAUAUGUGUAAGUAACUGUGCACAUCUUGACGGUACCUAAUCAGAAAGCCACGGCUAACUACGUG